rnacentral:lncRNA from 1 species
CAAAGUGUUGGGAUUACAGGCAUGAGCCACUGUGCCUGGCCAACUUUUGUCUUUUUCUCUUUUCCACCCAAGGCAUAAAGACCAGAACCCCUAAUUCAGAAAAGAGUCGAUUUCAGAAGGGACCACCAAAGAAAGAAGCCUAAAAUCUUGGUUCUGGUGUGACUCUGUCACCUAUGUCUUCUGAGUAAACAUGAAUGGACCAUGUAAUUACUACAUAAACAACAAAAUAUAAAGGCAAAGAAUUAGUUUAAAUGUGAGAGAGGACACAGGUGACAUAUACUACAUUGGAUGCUUAAUGAGCCCCUCUUGGAUGCUACUCUUUCUUGAGUCAGCCAAGGAGAGAAGUCUGGCUCCAAACAAUUCGGUCUGCAAAGAGAUGGAUGAGCCAUUUCUUCAGCUAUAUGUAGAUCACCUGAAAUUGAAACCUGAGUGUUCUGUCUCUUAAUUUGCGGGUCACAGAAUCCCACUAAGAAUUGGAAGGACCUUAGCAGUCAUUGCAUGGUGCUCCUCAGUAAUACACAAAUUCUAUAAUAACUGUUCAAAUACCUCUGGGGACUUGUCAGGCAAGUGUGUUGCUCCCUUCCAGAAAUAUAAGGAAGCAAAGUUCUCUUUCUAGUCAAGCCAAAUACAGAAGAUGCCCCAUUGGAAUCUGAAUCUUGCUAUUUGACAGUGAUGAUGCUGAUGAACCGGUACUCCAAGCUAAACCAGUAUUUGUACUGCAGAUACUACUUGCAUGUAUUUCUCAAGCUAUAAUUUGCUUCUUAGGCUGCACUCCGAAAAACUAAUU